AGCGUACACGGUGGAUGCCCUGGCAGUCAGAGGCGAUGAAGGACGUGCUAAUCUGCGAUAAGCGUCGGUAAGGUGAUAUGAACCGUUAUAACCGGCGAUUUCCGAAUGGGGAAACCCAGUGUGAUUCGUCACACUAUCAUUAACUGAAUCCAUAGGUUAAUGAGGCGAACCGGGGGAACUGAAACAUCUAAGUACCCCGAGGAAAAGAAAUCAACCGAGAUUCCCCCAGUAGCGGCGAGCGAACGGGGAGCAGCCCAGAGCCUGAAUCAGUGUGUGUGUUAGUGGAAGCGUCUGGAAAGGCGCGCGAUACAGGGUGACAGCCCCGUACACAAAAAUGCACAUGCUGUGAGCUCGAUGAGUAGGGCGGGACACGUGGUAUCCUGUCUGAAUAUGGGGGGACCAUCCUCCAAGGCUAAAUACUCCUGACUGACCGAUAGUGAACCAGUACCGUGAGGGAAAGGCGAAAAGAACCCCGGCGAGGGGAGUGAAAAAGAACCUGAAACCGUGUACGUACAAGCAGUGGGAGCACGCUUAGGCGUGUGACUGCGUACCUUUUGUAUAAUGGGUCAGCGACUUAUAUUCUGUAGCAAGGUUAACCGAAUAGGGGAGCCGAAGGGAAACCGAGUCUUAACUGGGCGUUAAGUUGCAGGGUAUAGACCCGAAACCCGGUGAUCUAGCCAUGGGCAGGUUGAAGGUUGGGUAACACUAACUGGAGGACCGAACCGACUAAUGUUGAAAAAUUAGCGGAUGACUUGUGGCUGGGGGUGAAAGGCCAAUCAAACCGGGAGAUAGCUGGUUCUCCCCGAAAGCUAUUUAGGUAGCGCCUCGUGAAUUCAUCUCCGGGGGUAGAGCACUGUUUCGGCAAGGGGGUCAUCCCGACUUACCAACCCGAUGCAAACUGCGAAUACCGGAGAAUGUUAUCACGGGAGACACACGGCGGGUGCUAACGUCCGUCGUGAAGAGGGAAACAACCCAGACCGCCAGCUAAGGUCCCAAAGUCAUGGUUAAGUGGGAAACGAUGUGGGAAGGCCCAGACAGCCAGGAUGUUGGCUUAGAAGCAGCCAUCAUUUAAAGAAAGCGUAAUAGCUCACUGGUCGAGUCGGCCUGCGCGGAAGAUGUAACGGGGCUAAACCAUGCACCGAAGCUGCGGCAGCGACGCUUAUGCGUUGUUGGGUAGGGGAGCGUUCUGUAAGCCUGUGAAGGUGUACUGUGAGGUAUGCUGGAGGUAUCAGAAGUGCGAAUGCUGACAUAAGUAACGAUAAAGCGGGUGAAAAGCCCGCUCGCCGGAAGACCAAGGGUUCCUGUCCAACGUUAAUCGGGGCAGGGUGAGUCGACCCCUAAGGCGAGGCCGAAAGGCGUAGUCGAUGGGAAACAGGUUAAUAUUCCUGUACUUGGUGUUACUGCGAAGGGGGGACGGAGAAGGCUAUGUUGGCCGGGCGACGGUUGUCCCGGUUUAAGCGUGUAGGCUGGUUUUCCAGGCAAAUCCGGAAAAUCAAGGCUGAGGCGUGAUGACGAGGCACUACGGUGCUGAAGCAACAAAUGCCCUGCUUCCAGGAAAAGCCUCUAAGCAUCAGGUAACAUCAAAUCGUACCCCAAACCGACACAGGUGGUCAGGUAGAGAAUACCAAGGCGCUUGAGAGAACUCGGGUGAAGGAACUAGGCAAAAUGGUGCCGUAACUUCGGGAGAAGGCACGCUGAUAUGUAGGUGAAGUCCCUCGCGGAUGGAGCUGAAAUCAGUCGAAGAUACCAGCUGGCUGCAACUGUUUAUUAAAAACACAGCACUGUGCAAACACGAAAGUGGACGUAUACGGUGUGACGCCUGCCCGGUGCCGGAAGGUUAAUUGAUGGGGUUAGCGCAAGCGAAGCUCUUGAUCGAAGCCCCGGUAAACGGCGGCCGUAACUAUAACGGUCCUAAGGUAGCGAAAUUCCUUGUCGGGUAAGUUCCGACCUGCACGAAUGGCGUAAUGAUGGCCAGGCUGUCUCCACCCGAGACUCAGUGAAAUUGAACUCGCUGUGAAGAUGCAGUGUACCCGCGGCAAGACGGAAAGACCCCGUGAACCUUUACUAUAGCUUGACACUGAACAUUGAGCCUUGAUGUGUAGGAUAGGUGGGAGGCUUUGAAGUGUGGACGCCAGUCUGCAUGGAGCCGACCUUGAAAUACCACCCUUUAAUGUUUGAUGUUCUAACGUUGACCCGUGAUCCGGGUUGCGGACAGUGUCUGGUGGGUAGUUUGACUGGGGCGGUCUCCUCCUAAAGAGUAACGGAGGAGCACGAAGGUUGGCUAAUCCUGGUCGGACAUCAGGAGGUUAGUGCAAUGGCAUAAGCCAGCUUGACUGCGAGCGUGACGGCGCGAGCAGGUGCGAAAGCAGGUCAUAGUGAUCCGGUGGUUCUGAAUGGAAGGGCCAUCGCUCAACGGAUAAAAGGUACUCCGGGGAUAACAGGCUGAUACCGCCCAAGAGUUCAUAUCGACGGCGGUGUUUGGCACCUCGAUGUCGGCUCAUCACAUCCUGGGGCUGAAGUAGGUCCCAAGGGUAUGGCUGUUCGCCAUUUAAAGUGGUACGCGAGCUGGGUUUAGAACGUCGUGAGACAGUUCGGUCCCUAUCUGCCGUGGGCGCUGGAGAACUGAGGGGGGCUGCUCCUAGUACGAGAGGACCGGAGUGGACGCAUCACUGGUGUUCGGGUUGUCAUGCCAAUGGCACUGCCCGGUAGCUAAAUGCGGAAGAGAUAAGUGCUGAAAGCAUCUAAGCACGAAACUUGCCCCGAGAUGAGUUCUCCCUGACUCCUUGA
rnacentral:rRNA from 1 species